AGUGAACGCUGGCGGUAGGCCUAACACAUGCAAGCCGAACGGCAGCACAGUAAGAGCUUGCUCUUACGGGUGGCGAGUGGCGGACGGGUGAGGAAUACAUCGGAAUCUACUUUUUCGUGGGGGAUAACGUAGGGAAACUUACUCUAAUACCGCAUACGACCUACGGGUGAAAGCAGGGGAUCUUCGGACCUUGCGCGAUUGAAUGAGCCGAUGUCGGAUUAGCUAGUUGGCGGGGUAAAGGCCCACCAAGGCGACGAUCCGUAGCUGGUCUGAGAGGAUGAUCCGCCACACUGGAACUGAGACACGGUCCAGACUCCUACGGGAGGCAGCAGUGGGGAAUAUUGGACAAUGGGCGCAAGCCUGAUCCAGCCAUACCGCGUGGGUGAAGAAGGCCUUCGGGUUGUAAAGCCCUUUUGUUGGGAAAGAAAAGCAGCAGGUUAAUACCCCGCUGUUCUGACGGUACCCAAAGAAUAAGCACCGGCUAACUUCGUG
rnacentral:rRNA from 1 species